rnacentral:rRNA from 1 species
AUUGAACGCUGGCGGCAGGCCUAAUACAUGCAAGUCGAACGGUAGCAGAACUAGCUUGCUAGUUGCUGACGAGUGGCGAACGGGUGAGUAACGCGUGGGAAUCUACCUGGUAGUGGGGGAUAACAGUCGGAAACGACUGCGAAUACCGCAUACGUCCUAAGGGAGAAAGCGGGGGAUCUUCGGACCUCGUGCUCUCCGAUGAGCUCGCGUCGGAUUAGCGAGUUGGUGGGGUAAAGGCCUACCAAGGCGACGAUCCGUAGCUGGUCUGAGAGGAUGAUCAGCCACACUGGAACUGAGACACGGUCCAGACUCCUACGGGAGGCAGCAGUGGGGAAUAUUGGACAAUGGGCGCAAGCCUGAUCCAGCCAUGCCGCGUGUGUGAAGAAGGCCCUAGGGUUGUAAAGCACUUUCAGCAGGGAGGAAAGGAUGUACGUUAAUACCGUGCAUCUGUGACGUUACCUGCAGAAGAAGCACCGGCUAACUCCGUGCCAGCCGCCGCGGUAA